UUUCUGCUGUCCUUUAAUUUGUGUGUGUGUGUAUCAAAUAUUUCAGACAUUUAAGAAUAGACAGGAUAUCUAGAGACAUCUGGCUAAAGCAGUGGGAUGAGGUCAGCCAAUUCCUCCCUGCAAAAAAAAAAAAGAAAAAAAGAAAGAAAAAGAAACUAAAAUGGUCAAAACCAACCAUUCUGGGGCCCUGGUAACUGACCAGAGGAAGGCGAGCAACUGAAAAUUGUUGAUUUUGAAGAUUGUCUAGAACCUCAGCCUCUCACCAGGUCUCUGCGGACAGGCUGUGUAGACGGAGCGGGAGAAGCUGCUGGCACCCAAGUCAGCAGCAGCCCCCACAGUGCUGGAGAAAGAGAAGCGGAUCCGGGCCAAUGUAUGCAGCACGGCACUGGGGCGCAGUCAUGGUGGAUGUUUUACUGAGAGCUCUCAUCAGGUCAAAGAAGUCAUGGUCAGCAGAUGGGGAAACCGAGAUGCAAGUUAAGUGAUUCACCCGAGGUCACCCUAGCAGAUAGAAUGAAAGAAGUGGUGGAAGGGCUGAGAGAGAGGAAAGCGAGAAUCCCAAAGAGACUCCAUGCCCAGCAUGAAGCUUGAUGUGGGGCUGGAUCUCACAACCCUGAGAUCAUGACCUGCACCGACGUCAAGAUUGUCGCCGGUGAAGAACAGUGAAGAGCAAAUUUUCCUUUCAGUUCUUUUUCCCAGCUGCCUCCCCCAUUUCCUUCCUAGGACACAACACUAAGCUUCUCAUGUAUCCUGCAAGAGAUGCCUUUUCUUUACAUACAGAAGUAAGAACUUGUGUACAUAUUUUUUUUUUCUCAAAUGGUGUCAUGCUCCACACAGUUCUACAACUUGCUUUUACACUUAAUAUACUAUAUUGAGUUAUGUGAAAUUACUGAUAUCCUACCAUUUUUGACUCUGCCGGAAAUCUUUCAAUAUCAAGCACACAAGGAAGUGGUUCCGUCCUUUAAAAAAAAUAAUGAAGUGUGACAUACGUAAGCCUUCACAAAUCCUGAGUGUCCACUCCGCUGUGUAACCAGUCCCCAGAGUAAUAACUCAAAUGUUAUCAGCAUCCAGAAGUGCCCACAGUCACGACGGCGUUCAGAAUUGUAUAUAAAAGCAGUCAUCCAGUACGUUC